rnacentral:rRNA from 1 species
GACGGGGGAUGCAAGUGUUAUCCGGAAUCACUGGGCGUAAAGCGUCUGCAGGUGGUUUCCUAAGUCCACUGUUAAACCUUGAGGCUCAACCUCAAAUCUGCAUUGGAAACUAGGAGACUUGAGUAUAGUAGGGGUAGAGGGAAUUUCCAGUGGAGCGGUGAAAUGCGUAGAUAUUGGAAAGAACACCGAUGGCGAAGGCACUCUACUGGGCUAUUACUGACACUCGAGAGACGAAAAGCUAGGGGAGCAAAUGGG